CCUGCGGAAGGAUCAUUAUCGAACGAAACUUCUGGCCGGACGCUUUUUGUGCUGGCCCUUCGGGGCAAUGUGCACGCCUCUGGUCCUUUGUUUCUUCUGUUCCACCUGUGCACUCCCUGUAGAUGCUCUGUGUCUAUGAUAACGAUUACACGCUCUUUUGCAUAUUGGUUGGCAUGUCACAUAUGUAUGAAAAUAUACAACUUUCAACAACGGAUCUCUUGGCUCUCGCAUCGAUGAAGAACACAGCGAAAUGUGAUAAGUAAUGUGAAUUGCAGAAUCCAGUGAAUCAUCGAAUCUUUGAACGCAUCUUGCGCUCCUUGGCAUUCCGAGGAGCAUGCCUGUUUGAGUGUCAUUAAACUGUCAAAACACACCUUUCUUAGGGGCGUUUUGGACUUUGGGAGUGUUUUGCUGGUCUGCUUGAGCCCAGCUCUCCUCAAAAGCAUUGUUAGCUUUGGCAGACUGUCAGCGUGAUAACCUUGUUUAUGCUGAGUCUCCAAAUAUAUAUAUGCCCCCUUUGACCUCAAAUCAGGUAGGACUACCCGCUGAACUUAAGCAUAUCAAU
rnacentral:rRNA from 1 species